UUAAAACAAAAAAAAAAUGGAAACACUAGGGGUUCAGGCUCAGAGUUCAUGUUGUUACCCUCAUAACUGUUGUUCAAUCUAAAAAUCAGGGGUAUUUCUUUUGGACACCGUUCUUGUUGAGACUCAUUGGCUCAUAUAUUUUCUUUUAUUGCUCUUUGAGCAUGCUUUUUACUAACCUUAAUACUUCUAGAUAAGUGCUUCAUGAUACUUCUCGUGACAUACAUUUUUUUCAUUUCUCUUUAUUUUCUUUGAAUUUUUUUUCUUUUUGCACUUAUCUACCUUUCAUCGGUGUCUCCAACAUUUUGAUAAAACCCCUAACUUAGGCUUUUCCACAGAUCCAUAGUAAACAACACUUAUCUAAGUAAGGUGUGGUAGUGUAUGGGCUUAUGGUUAUAUACAGUGGUUAAAUAGCAAACAAAAGGAAAUAUGGCUCAAAUUUGGUGAACGAAGGGUAAU
rnacentral:lncRNA from 1 species